UCCGAAGGCAUUUGUGCGAGAUACUAAUUCUGGGCUAAGCCCGAAGGCAUUUGUGCGAGUUACUAAAUCCGGGUUAAGUCCCGAAGGCAUUUGUGCGAGUUACUAUAACCGGGCUAUGUCCCGAAGGCAUUUGAACGAGUAGCUAUAUCCGGUUAAAUUUCGAAGGUACGUGAUUUGGGAAUGAAUGAUCUUGCUGUAAAAAUUUUAGUUAAUACGCUUGAAACAUCCCAACAUUGAGGUAUGUUUCGUAUGUGCUUUGAAUUAGUUGAGCCCUUACAAAUAAGUAUUCGCUCAGUUGAUAAAUGAGCUACCG
rnacentral:lncRNA from 1 species